rnacentral:sRNA from 4 species
GCAGGUUCGGGUCGAACGCAGUGAGACAACGGAGCCGUUUACGGCGACGGCCCGAAGGGCGAGCGAGGCGAGUCAUCCUGCACGACCCACCA